UCCGUAGGGUGCAAGCGUUGUCCGGAAUUAUUGGGCGUAAAGAGCUCGUAGGCGGUUUGUUGCGUCGGCUGUGAAAUCCCGAGGCUCAACCUCGGGUCUGCAGUCGAUACGAGCAAACUAGAGUGUUGCAGGGGAGACUGGAAUUCCUGGUGUAGCGGUGAAAUGCGCAGAUAUCAGGAGGAACACCGGUGGCGAAGGCGGGUCUCUGGGCAACAACUGACGCUGAGGAGCGAAAGCGUGGGGAGCGAACAGG
rnacentral:rRNA from 1 species